CCUACGGGGGGCAGCAGUGAGGAAUAUUGGUCAAUGGACGAGAGUCUGAACCAGCCAAGUAGCGUGAAGGAUGACUGCCCUAUGGGUUGUAAACUUCUUUUAUAUGGGAAUAAAAUGUUCCACGUGUGGGAUUUUGUAUGUACCAUAUGAAUAAGGAUCGGCUAACUCCGUGCCAGCAGCCGCGGUAAUACGGAGGAUCCGAGCGUUAUCCGGAUUUAUUGGGUUUAAAGGGAGCGUAGGUGGAUUGUUAAGUCAGUUGUGAAAGUUUGCGGCUCAACCGUAAAAUUGCAGUUGAAACUGGCAGU
rnacentral:rRNA from 1 species